rnacentral:lncRNA from 1 species
UGUUGACCGUUAAAAGCUAGCCGAGAGUCACCAACCAGAUUCGACCAAUAUCAAAUAUCGGUUUUAUACAUCGAACCCAUUUUGACUUGCCCCUACUUCAUACCAUGUUCCAUGGUAGCCGAAGAAACAUGACCCAUUGCAACAGGUCCUGGAACAAAAAUAGGUCGGUCGUUACAUUCACCAAAGGAGGUCUGAGUUUGCAGGGAUAAACAUAAGCAGCCUCGGAUUUGGCAGGAUGUUAGUCAUGUCAAGGGGUGAGGUAUUAUAACUACACUUGAAUGAUUCUAUAGUCUUGGGGUGUGUAUUUCCACAUAAAUCACCGAGUUUCUUUCCGUGUUAAUCAUCGGUAAGAUCAAGGGCGACCCGGUUGUUGCUAAC